rnacentral:lncRNA from 1 species
CCGGAAGUUCAACGCCCCCGCAUGGCCAAAUACCUGAAAAUCUGCGCAUGAUAGGACUAAGAAAACAUAUGGAUCUAGAUUUUAACUUCUUAAUUAUAGAAGAUUCUGUCCUGUGUCUCUUUGUGAUCAAAACUAUGGUUUAACCUAAUAUAUUUCAACCUACUCUCAUGCUCCAUUUAUUUCACAAAAAAUAUUUUCCUUAUUUUUCGGUGUUUGGUUCUCUUAAAGAAAAUGAGUCAAUGUAAAAUAUUUUCCUACAAAAAGUUAAAUUCAAGAAGAUGAUUUCCUAUUUGAAACAAUUGGAAAAUAUUUUCCAAAAUAUGACUAAAUACAUUUGGACUCAAACUCUGCACCUGGGCAUGGAAACCUCAGCCGGUCUCCAAUAGUCGAGCCUGGGUCAUCGAGGCUAGCUUUAGGCCUAGUCCCCCAGCGUCCGUGUCCAAGUCCAUUGAGGCCAAGCCCAAACCACCGGUACCCAUACCCAAUGCUUCAGCACUCGAGCUCAAAUCUAUAAAGGUCGUGUUUGGGUCCCCGACACUCAAGCUUUGGUCAUGACCCUUAGGCGCAAGUCCCCAAAGGCCAUGCGCGGUCCUUGGUGCUCAAGAAACGUUUGUUUUUUAUAAAAAUAUUUUAAAAAAUUCGAAUUUUUAAUUUUUUUUCAAUUUUUAAAUUAUUUUUAAUUUGAUAUAUUCAUUUCUUUUAUUUUUCUUUUCUUUGCUUCUACCUUGGUUGGUUGUGGCUACAACCAAUGACCAGCUACGGGUGAGCUCAAGCUCGGUAAGCUUUGAGCUUCUCGAUCUGACAAGGCUUGAGCUUUGCGAUCAUCUCUGUAGCAGCAACCAGCCAAGAAAGAAGAAACAUAAAAGAAAAGAAUAUAUAAAAUUAAAAGUAAUUAAGGAAUACAAUUUUUUGAUGAUUUUCCUUAUCAUAUUUUACUUACUAAAUAAUGAAAAAAUAUUUUUCGGGUCUUUUUCAGGUUUCCGUAAAGACUUACUGAAAAAUAUUUUUUAGAAAUGAUGCAUUUCACGUCCGACAAACAGAUCAUAAUCUGCUUUAGGUCGUAGAGUUGCAGUAAUUGACUUUAGCGAUCAAAGGUCUUCUUUAAAAUAUUGUCGGCAAGGGGCGGGGGGCGCCGACAGACCAACAGGAAGGUAUGGUUCCUGUUACAAUAGUUUUUUAUACAUCUAUUGACCGCACUCCUUCCUACUUCCUAGGUUUUUUUUUUUUUUUUUUUUAAAUACUUCCUAGGUUGAUCAUCUGACUUCAACCUGGGGAGGCCCGUCUGUCAUUAUUGCAUUAAAAAACUCACACUUUCAUUGUCAAAGAAAACCGGAAAUAAAAAUUUUGCAAACGUCAAAUGUCAAGCUCGAGCAAUAACUACUCUGCACCACCCACAAUCGAAAGUGCUGAAAUUACUUCGCAUGCUUUUACUUUAGUUGUUAUCGGGGCGGGGAGGGGCGACCAAUGCCCAGCGAUCUUCCAUGAGUAUUAUCGUAAGGAUUCCACCCCAACCAAUGAAUAUUCAACUUGAGAAAUAAGCAUCCAAGUAACAUCGACAUACAAUAUAGACAUGUGGCACGCCGACACGUCAUUUCUUAAAAAUAAAAAAUUCCAACACGUUAUAAUACGCCGUAUAUUAAAUAUAUACUUUUAUUUUUAAUUAAUUUAAUUCAAAUUUACAAUUAAAUAAAUUAUAAUAAAAGAGCCUACAAUGAAUUUGUAAUAAUAAUAUAAAUGAAUAUAUUCAUAGGAAAUUCGAAAGACAAUUUCAUAAUUAAUGCAUAUGCAUAUUUGGAAACAUAUUUUUAACUGUAACAUAAGUUUUGAUGAAACUAAUGACUAAUAGGAAAUUAUAAUUAAUUUAUUUAAAUAAACUUAUGACCUUUUAUAAUUAUCAAAAUUUAUUAUUUUUCAAAAUCACUUUGUAACGUCUUCUAUAUAUUUUUCUGUUAAAAAAAUGCAAACCCGUGGGAGGUACACCCCAAACCCCAUGCCCAAAUUUAUUUUACUCUCUUAUUUCUUUGGCUCAGUUCUUCCCCACUUCCCCUCCCCCCUCUCUUAUUUCUUUGGCUCAGUUCUUCCCCCCUUCCCCGCCUCACUCCCAAGAAAAAAAGAAAAAAAAACACCCGUCAUACUUCGCUUUAUUAAAAGUUCAAGUCACCCUCUCAUCCACCCACCCUGCAAAAGGAAAACAUCACGCCAAGGUCCCAUCAAAAUCCCAUUUUUAUUUUAUUUUUUAUUUAGUUUCCUCCCUCAAAAAUCUUACCUACCGCCUCCUCCUCCUCCUAUUUGCACGACCCUCUUCCUCUCAAUCUCUGCCCUCUCUCGGUCGCCUCAUUAGCCAUCAUAAUCACUCGCCUCCAAUGCUUCCUCUUUCGCAGCCGUAGCCUUGUCGCCAAUCCUCCAUUGCGGCAUCGUAGUUGCGACCCUCUGGGUCGCCUCAGUCUUUACUCUUCCUCUAACCCUCCCUUGCCAUCGCUCCGGGCCUUGCCUCUAUUCUCUCGCCCUCGCCUCCUCCUUCCAUCAUCUUCUUCAACGAUUCUCCCUACCGGACACGAGUGUCCGAGCGUAUUGAAACGUGUCAAACACGUUGACCUGACACAUGUCAGACACAACAUGAAAGUGCUUUGCACCAACCGCGAUCCAAAACUCUAAGGUCAGAGAGCCCAUAACCACAAUUCCAUUGAUUCGCCCAUGAAGUGAAUAAUCUCGUGAAAGACAAAUAAAUCCUUUACAACUAAGCCAACCACUCUGGUUGUCCUGCCUCUGCAUGCUGACGAUUCUACGACGAGGAUUCUUCAUUAAACUUCCUAGGAAAAGGGUUUUUCGGUCAUUGGGUAUUAUUCACGUUAAAGUCACCUAGUAAUCAGCACAAAGAAAGAAGCUUGAAAGCGUUAAAAAAAAAAAAAAGGGACGGCUUUAAGGCUCCAAUAAUAGCAAAUCGGAAUCGGUAAUUGGCAUUAUUGCUAUUCUAAUACAUGAUCUGAUCUGCUAUAUUUAGCUUAAACCCUGACCAGUCAACCGGUGUCAAGGCAGACAUCAUUAUUACGUGGAUCAAGACGCAAAUAAUGAAAUAACAGGGGAGGAAAAAGAGUUCUUGACGCAGUCUCAUUCUCAAGUAGUUGAUAACGCACCAACUCAAGAUUAAGUCGCAAGAUUCAAAUUACGGCACGAAACCUCUCUGUCUGUCUAUAUAUAGAUCCUCUUGUUGCUCUAUUCAUCGCCUCCCAGAAGUAACAUAAGCUCUCCCGUAAUCCUCACAUCACAUGGCGAAGAGCAAGGUCCUCGUCGUUGGCGGCACUGGCUACGUCGGGCGGAGGCUCGUGCGGGCGAGCCUGGACCAGGGCCACCCCACGUACGUCCUCCAGCGUCCGGAGACCGGCCUCGACAUUGAGAAGCUCCAGACGCUACUGCGCUUCAAGAGGCGUGGCGCCCAACUCGUCGAGGCCUCGUUCUCAGACCUGAGGAGCCUCGUCGACGCUGUGAGGCGGGUCGAUGUCGUCGUCUGUGCCAUGUCGGGGGUCCACUUCCGGAGCCACAACAUCCUGAUGCAGCUCAAGCUCGUGGAGGCCAUCAAAGAAGCUGGAAAUGUCAAGGUAAUCAGCGUAACGCAAACUCAUUUUUUUCUCUUUUUAGAGCGGUCUUUAUUGAGUUGCUACUAUGCAUUAAUUCCUUUCAUUCUGUUCGGUUCGAAGUUCUUCUUAGGGUUUUAGAGAGUAUUAUGCACUUCAUAUGAUGCUCAAUUUCAGAGCAAGUACCUAUAUCUGUGGUGUGCCUAGUAUUAGUAAUACAGCUUCUCGUGCUACUAGAUGUAAAAUAAUUUAUCUAAGAUCCGUCUUCGGAGUAAUCGAGAUAGGGAAUCUGUGUCUUGAAAAAGAAAUCAAGAUUUUACAUAACAACAAAAAUAUAUAUCUGUCUAAAAUUUUAUUGAUAGCAACAAAAAUAUUUCAAGAUUUUAUUGAUAACAUAACUCAGUGAGUAACAAAAAUUCUUUUUUUUUUCCAUAUAAAUCUGGAGGUAUUUGUUGAAAUAUUCUUUUUACCCUUAGAGUAGGAAAAAAAAUAUUUGUCUCAUUUUUCACUUAUGAUAGGACUUUCUUCACUUAUUUUUCUUAUUCUUUUCUUUCUAGCCCUUAUACACAUGUUUGACUUGGACAUCAAUCCGAUGUCCACACCGUAGAUAGCAAAAUAUGUCGAGAAAGUCAAAAGAGUAGGAGAAAUGUUACAAUACUUUUUGAGCUUGUAGAUAUUCAUACAGGAGAAAUAGAAUAAACAACGCUAAUAUAAAAGAAGAUUUUGCACCGGCAAUCUUAUUUACUUUUGAUUUGAGGGCUUUGAUCAUUCACUCUUGUAGUAUCCAUCAAAUCAAAAGUGAACAAGAUCACUUAAGGAAAAUAAAUUACAUUGAGGCAUAAGUUAUAAUUACCGAUUUGAAUAUUUACAUGGUAUUGCAAAUGACGGUAUAUAUGCGCACAUUACAUGAUUAUCACAAUUGGAGGGUCCAAGAGGGUGAAGAAUUGAUUGUUCGCACCACUUAGUGCAAAAAUCUAAACAAUUAUUUAGCUUAUAAGGAAAGAGCAUAUAUGUGUGUCUAUAUAUAUGUGUGUGUGUUCAUAUUGACAAGACUAUCUCCUUUACGCAAUUACUAGAUGAUCAUUUCAUUACUUGAUCCUGUCGUCAUCCAUUUAUCUAGAUGGUUCAAAACGGCUUAGCUAAAGUCAACAUUGACCAAUUUGACAUGCUGCUUUGUCGGCUCGAUCAUUUGAAAUAUUCGAAGAUUAAGAAAACGAACGGCCGGUCGCCCCCCACCUCAACAGAACCGUUGAAAAUUUCUAAAAGUUCGCUUUUGAUAAAAGGCAUAAAAAGUUCAGAAUAUUUCGAAUCAAAUAUAAUUUAUAUUUAAGAGUGAGAUUUUGAGGAAGUUAAAAUUAAAGUAGAAGUUCGUUCCAAAUAAAUUAAAAUUAGGUGGAUUUCGUUAUUGGAAAAAAAUAAUAGAGUUGCAAAUUUAUAAAAUGUCAAACAUAUAUUCACAUUCGAUCGUUUACAUAGUUUCUCCGGAUAUAACAUAAUCUUGAAUCAAAUUUCUAGCAUAGUUUUGGAGCAUAGUACGUUAUGUUUAUGUCGACAAUCAUAUAAUCAUCUAUAGUCGCAGCAUCCCAUUGUAUUAACCCUCAAAUUGCUGAUCUUUGAGUUAUGUUAUUCUGAAAUUUUUUUGAAAAAACAUGUGAUGCGACCUCAAUAUGUCACUAUUUCCUAAUUUGGUGUCCGAACAAGCAAGCGUUCCAACCAGAAAAGGCCGAAGGCCAAACAUGACUUGAAUUGUCCAUCUUAUAUUAUAUAAUAGACAAAUAAAUAAAUAGGUACAAACGUAACUUUCCGCCGCCUCCAUAAAUUUUUCUUUGCAUUUUUUGCCGAUUAUGUGAAAAAGCUAUUUUCGGCCGACCAUAUUUUAGGCGCAAAUAGGUGCCGACAGGAAGACAUGAUGAUUGAUUAAGGUGAGGAUGAUCCAGAUAUGCCCACCGACUCUUUGUUCGGUGGAGAAUUUCUUGCAACUGAACCGACAGGGCCAACCCAACAGUAUUUUAAGCAGACCAUAUCGAAUUUGGUUAUAUGAUAAUGUCAGAAACUACAAAUGCGUGCCUUUUGAACUACUCCCAUUGGUGGGUGGGUGCUCUUCUUUUCUAGAUAAGAAUUUAAUUUGAAGAUAAAGGAGGGCUGCCACGAAUUAUGAUGGUUGUUGUCUUUGGAAAAGAACUUGUGCCGUGCAUGUUCAUUUGACUGAUUGCGCCUUUUCGUUUGCUCGAUCUAACAACCACCUGGAUUUUUGUCCAGCUUUAUUCUUGUUUCAUGAUAAAAGUGAAGGAAUUGUGCUAUGAAGUCUCUGUGGGACAAGUUUCUUCAUUUCUUGUCCCUCCUAAAUAAUUUUUUUUAGCUUGUUGUGCUUUUGAUUUUUGUUUAAAUUGCAUUCUUCUAACUUCAGUAUGUUCUGAAAUUGGGAUAAAUACUAUCUUAUUUCUUUCAGUUUGUCAGGUUAAUAUUUCAUGUUUUUUUUUUUUUGUAAUAGAUUCAACUCUAAUUUUGGCUAUGAUUUUUGUUGUAUUUCUAGUUCUAAUUGUUAGAAAAAUUGUACCAAACUCCCCCCCCCCCAAAAAAAAAAAGAUUAUGAGGAUAGUAGACAUUUAUCCAUAAAUUUUCAACCAUUACACGUUAUCUUCUUAACCUUUCUUUUAUUAAAAUCGUUAACCCGUUAUUAUACGUGUUUUUCAAGGAGUAAAUUCGUACUUUCAUCUCUCUCUUUUUUAUGAAAAUACUCUUUCACCCUUGAUUUUUGUAAAAAGAUAAAAAGUGAAGAAAAUGGAGAAAGAUUAAUUAAAUAAAAAAUUAAUAAAAAGUAACACAAUUAAGUAUAAAGGAAAAAGGCUCAAUAAAAAAUGGCGAAGUGAAAAAAAUUGCAUAUUCUUUAUGUUUUAAAUGUUGAUGCAAAAAAUUGAUUACUCAAUAAAAAUACUUUAAACCCCACCUUAGUUUGAGAUAAUCAUUUCCCUGUAUGAGUUGAGGACAUCAUUUAUUUUUAUCCCUUUUGACUAACAAAUUUUUAUUAUUGACCUUUUUUUCUUUUUGAGGCACUUCCAUUUUUUUAUUUAAUUUGGUUGAUGUUUUUCUUAAAAUACCUUAUUCAAUUUUAUUAAAGCUGCUACAUUUACCAAGUUUUGACAAGUUCUUAUUGUUUAAUAUUAUUGAUAUUUAUUGUUUCUAUUAUAUUUAGUUGAUUUAGUUUUCUUUCAUUUUCUAUAUUUUUAUUCUUUUGCAGCAAUCAAGAGUAAAAGAGAAAUUUCCUUAAAAAAUGAUAUGAGAAUUUUACUCCUCAAACAUGUGCAUUGCACAUGCACGCGGAAAAAUAACUCAGGGUUUAUGGCUCUAACAAAAUUAAAAACCUACCGUCUAACACUUGAAAGUUGAAGGGCAAGCGUGCACUACCCUUAAAAUUUUAUGGAGAGUUUUGCAUGAUUUCUCCUAAUUGUUAACAAUUUUGUAUAUUUUAUUAUGCUUACAUUGCUUGAGGUAAUUUUCCCUAUCCUUCUUAUUUCUUCUGUUUCACCAUAAAACUCGAUUUACUUUUUCUAGUUUAUGUUUUCAGUACGGCUUGUCUUAUAUCAUACAUUAUGCAAUAAGAAAUUGCAUCUGCAGAAUCAUGUUCGGGUGUAGACUCAAAAUCUUGUCCAUUCAUCUUGUCUUUGCCAUAAUCUUUUUGGUUGAACUUGAACUGAACACUUGCUCUCCUGCAGUUUGCAAAAUGGAAAGUUCAAGUACAGAAGUUAUCAUCUUCGAACUAUACUAACUUUUUUUAGAUAGAAAGAUAGAUUAUACAUUCCGUUGAGUGAGCGUAUAAAGCAAUGAAAGUGUAUUCGUGAAGAAAUUCUUACACUGAUUUUCUAUUAUAAAUGCAUUAGGAUAAACGAAAAUUUGCCCCUCUAACUUGUGUUGAUCUUCUCAUUCAAUUCUCCAUUUGAGCAGUGGAUUCCGUAACUCACUCAAUUUGUGCAAUCAAAUCUUCUUAUUUCUUGACAUUCGGACAUGACUCUGCUAAGAAAGCUAUUUAUCUUAUGUCAUUACCAGGGGUGUGCAUAUCUUUCUCUCUCUCCCGAGCUCUUUCUUUUCUUUUUUCCAGUUUUGCUAAUGUACAGUCACGUCGACAUCGUGUCAAAGAAUCGUCAUGCAACAAAUACUAAUGAGAUUUUGAAUGUUUGCUAAUUCUUUGUAGCGGUUUUUGCCGUCAGAGUUCGGAAUGGACCCGGCCCUCAUGGGUCAUGCAAUUGAGCCGGGAAGGGUCACGUUCGAUGAGAAAAUGGAGGUGAGAAAAGCAAUCGAGGAAGCCAAGAUCCCCUUCACAUACAUCUCGGCCAACUGCUUUGCCGGUUAUUUUGUGGGCAAUCUCUCCCAAAUGUCGAGUCUCACUCCUCCAAAAGACACUGUAUAUCUCUAUGGAGAUGGCAACGUCAAAGGUAUGUGAGGUGCAUAAACCUACUUUAGCCGUAAUAACAAAGGUUAUAUAUUAGAGAAAAGAUCUUCUCUAACCAUGCUUCUGAUUAGUGGGUUACAACCAUAUGAUUUUCAUAUUUUAUAACCCACCAAUCAAAAGAUUGGUUGGAGCAAAUUUCCUCCAACUAGAGACGGAGAAAACCAUGUUCACCAUUUAGAAUACCAGCAUGGUAACAUUUUCAAUAAACUUAUGAAAAAAGGGUUGACUUAGUGAUAAAAUAAUCGGAACAUGGACCUUCAGAAAUUGUAGUCUCAUGUUCGAACUCUACUCGACGCAACGAUCCCUUAAACCUGACAUAAGUCCCAAAUGCUACCAUGUGAAAUGAUAAAUCAUGUCAAAGUAGGUCUUUUAUCUAUGUCAGUUUGGACUUUGAGGGAGUUAUAAAUUUUAUUAUAUAUAAGGAUUCAAUAUUUCGGCAUUAUUUUGUUAGGUGAGACUCUGUCAUAUUUUAAUGUGUUUUUAUCUCACGCCAAUAAUGAGGUAAGCGCUUACGUAAUCAACCAAUAUCAUCCUAGUCGUAUCCUUGAACAUCUUUAUUAGAUUACUCAAGUACUCGAUCAGAAGGGCAAUCACUAGCUCUGCAUAUCUAGUCUAAAUCACGACUAGAUAAAAUAUUCCGAGUGAUCACAAAAUCUAUCAAGUUCAACAACCUUAGCUUGGUUAAGUCAUUUAGCCAAGUUCAACACUUCUUUUUGGUAAUUAAGACACGAAUAUGGGCGAAUAUGUAUGUGGAUAAGUCAUAAAAGUGUUCGAUACUGCAUUACUGUUGCAGCUGUUUUUCUCGAUGAAGAUGAUAUCACAACAUAUGCAAUUAAAACGAUCGAUGAUCCGAGAACGCUGAACAAGACAGUCUACCUAAGGCCACCAGAGAACAUUCUGUCCCAAAGACAACUGGUGGAGACGUGGGAGAAGCUCAGUGGAAAGACCCUGGAGAAGAGAAGCAUUUCUGCAGAAGACUUCCUUGCCUCCAUGAAAGGUACUUAUCUGAUUUAUUGUUUCGUUAGAUGACAUGUACUUUUGUAGAAUUUGUGUUGGCAUAUCCUUAGGUUCAAUGACAACUUAAACAAUGCGACGGUGAUCAUGUUUUUGAACGCUGACUGGAAAAUCUAAUAAAAACCCUUUUGUAUAUUUACCAUCAAGAGUGACCUGCUACAUAAUUACUUGCUACAAUAGCUUCAGAUCUAUGGUAGACCAUAUUUAGAUGAUAUUAAGCUAUCCUUCUGUUUCAGGAUUGGAUUAUGCGCAGCAAGUGGGAGUGGGGCAUUUCUACCACAUAUUCUAUGAAGGCUGUUUGACAAACUUUGAAAUUGGGGAAGAUGCAGAAGAAGCUUCCCAGCUUUAUCCUGAAGUUCAAUACACCCGCAUGAAUGAAUACCUGAAGAUUUUUGCAUGAUCGUACUAAGAACCAUUUGUACCACUCGGAGUUUGCUCUCGCUAUCCAAAUAAAAAUCUUGAGUUUCUCUAUCAUGAUUCUAUCAUUUCUGCGAUUACAAAUUGGUCUAAGCCGAGAUGUGUGAUCAAUGACUGCGCUCUCUUCGAACUCAGCAGAAAACAAAAACCAGCUCAGAGUAUUCCUACAAUGGUCCUAGCUAAGGAUUUCUGGGUAAUUCAAAAGCUAUUUUAUGUAAUUAGUGACAAUAAGAUAACUCAGGCAUAUGGGGAUUCACGAGAAGAAUAGGCUUGAUCAUUUCUCACAACUCAACUUAAAAUUUCAGGUAUUGCCAAUAAGCCAUCUCUUUUGUCAUAAUACAACUCCCAGUCAUUUGAAAAUAUUACAGUUACAUAGAAGCAGCAGUUCACGUAUUCCAAGUCUGUCAUCCCAAUAGUGUUCCCACUAUGCAUUUGUUAGGAACCCCUCUUUAGUCCUUCCCUACUUAUUGGCAUCUGUUGGAAAUUUGUCACGCUCCCAACCCCGAGCGCAUGCCCAUCCCUCUCUGGUCGAUAAAAUUUUGCGACUUCCCAGAACAAGUCGCCAACCCAUUGAUUUUUAAGCACAUGCGGAAGCAAAAAUAAAUCCCCUGACAAUAACCAUCUCAGGAUAGGAAAGUAGGAUACGAAUUCACGAAACAAACAUGCUUUUAUAUAUACAGUGAGUCAUGUACAAAAGUCUAUGACCAAAAGACUACAAAAGACUAGCCUUCCAAAAGAAGCGGUCAGUUAAGCGGUCCUAACUGACCUACACUUCCGAUCACCUCCUCUCAGCUCCAGGUCCUCCACUCGACGACCCUAAAAAUAUUGUCCCACAACAGGGUGAGAUAAAAUCUUAGCGAGUCUAAGCUCUAAACCCCAAUUAGGAGGGAAAUACACCUAGAAGCGUCCUAACCACGCAAUCAUACAAUUAGCAUAGAGAACUUACUUCGCCUCAGUUCCACCCUGCAGGUCAGCACAGUUCAUAUACAUUAUGUAUAGAAUCGAUACAUCCAGCAAUUGAAACGCAUCACUCAACUCAAUAAAUUACAAGGGUCCAGAUUAUAGGGCAAAUCGUUAUGACACAUCCCAUACCAUGUCACAUAAUUUUGUCCCAUAAUCCAGCGCAUCAAACUCAACCAUCAUGCAUUCCAAUUGUUAAUUACACCCCUCAAGGGUACAGCCAACUCUAUUGGCGAUCUUCUGGCAUUGCCAAGCGUUGUCUCACCCCCAUUGAGCACGGUUACGUCUCUCUCAGAGACGACUUCUCCGAAGGGGCGUAGGUCCAGAAUCUACUGCGACUCGAAUACAACCUACUCACAAGUUCGGUGUCUUCUGGCAUAGCCAGGCUUCGUCUCCCACCAUGAGCACAGCGACGUCUCUCAAUUAGACGGCUUCCUCGAAGGGGCGUAGGUCCAAAAUCUACUGCGACCCGAGUCCCAAUGAAUGGGUAACAUCCGGCUUAACAAUCCAUGAUGGUUUCUCUUAACCAACAUACGACCACUCAAUCUGGCCCAGGACACUGUGCAUUGCACUCAAAUGCCUCCAUUAAAUAGUGAUCCUGGCCUAUUUUCUUCGUAUUAAAAACGUCCCGAAAAUAGUCGUGUGUGGGUACACGGUCAAUUUGAACCAGAAGACUGAUACCUACCGUUUUCAAACCCCACUAUUUGAUAUAGUACUUAAAAUCCAUUUUCGGUGUUAAAACCCGACACCCAGAAUUUUCUAAAUAAAUAUCAAAAUCCACAAAUUUUGGAAUUAAAUACUCAAAAUUCCAAUCAACACUCAAUUUGCACAACUAACACUCAAUUGCAGAAAUGAACCACGCCAUUACAAUCAGCACGAAAUUCCGGCCACCGACUAUUCCGGCCUAAAUUCUGGAAAAAUAAUUAAUAAAUAAUUAUUUCGAAAAUUAAUUAAUUAAUUCAAUUUAAUUUCUAAAAAUACUAACCUUGGCCAAAAUUAUUAAAUUAAAUACCAAUACAGACCCGGAAAAUUCCCUAACCCUUCUAGAUAAAUAGUACAAUUUAUUUAGGCCUUAGCUAAACCAUGCUAACCACCUAACAUGCUCAAUUAAAUAAUUAAAUUUCUAAUUUAAUCUAACUAACCACCUAAUUCCUAAUAAAAUAAAUCUAAACACCCCUUAAACGUCAUUAGCCUACUAAGCAGAGUUUAGAGUAUAAACUCACCGGCUAAUUGCGGAAACCGAUCCACCGUGACGACGACGCGAUAGCGGCCGAAAUCAAAAUUUUCGGCGGCGUCGACAAACUUGGGCUGGGCCUAAACUUGGCCCAACACAACUCAGCAAGGCUGAAUUUCGGUCUUGGGCUUCUGCAGGGCUACUGGUCGCGAGCUUGGGCUUUCUUCGCAGGCCCAAAAUGGGCUGAACUUUAAAUGGGCUAAAACCAACUGAACUUGGGCCUGAGCUUGGGCUUCAAAAUCUGCUGGAGAUGGGCUUAAAAUCAUUGUGCUAAAGAUGGGCUUGUGGAUGAAUUCGUGGGCUGAUGAUGCGGGCUGGAUACGGGCCCAACUGCUGACAAAAUUCGCUAGCUUCGUGGACAAUGAUGCUGCCUUGCUUGGACUUCGCUGGCACACGAGGAAAGCAGCUACUGGUGGUAAAGAUGAAGACACGAGGCAGAAGGAGCUGGACGUUGGCCGCGUGGAGAGGGGAUCGCACGAUGAAGCUGCUGGAUUAAAUUUCGAUGGACUCCUCUGUUUGCGCAAAUAAGUGGAGAUUGGCGGUCAUCACACCUGCUGGAGUUGACCUCGAUGGAUUGAAGACACGAGGAGGGGAUGCGGAUCUUCGGGGCAGCUGCUUCGGACGUGUGGCCGUAGAUGGAGCAGCUUCGUUGGGUCUUCAAUUCGGCUGAAGAAGACCACGCGGGCAGUUGGCUGGCAUCCACAAAUUUGCCGACAGCACGGAGUUGGGCUGUGCGAUGCAGACGUGAGGUUUCGGUGGAGGUUUAGGUCAACACCGGCUUCAAUUGUUGACUGAAGAAGGUGGAGACUCGGACGUGUGGGCGCUGGUCUUCGUGAGGGAGAGAGGGACGCUCGGUGAGUGGAGAUGUGGGCGAGUGAUUGUGGUUCGGUCGGUGGGGACAGCAAGAGAGGCAACAGGGACUUGGUGAUUGAUGAAAAAUAAAGGGAAAAUGAAAGCAAGGUAGGAGCCAACGGAGAGGGAGAGAGAAAUGGUCGAGCAGGAAGAAGAUGAUGAAGACCGAAGGGGAAAGGAGCGUAUGGGAGAAGCUUGAGCGAGAGAAAGCCAAAAUAUCCAAUUAAAUAUCUCACAUUCAUCAUUGUUUGGUCCCACUAGGCCUUCAACAUUAUCUUCAUAGUCUCCUAAUACUUUCUAGCUCAAUUUUUCACUAAUUAAACCCAAAAGAUGCCAAAAUGCAGCCUUCUCUCUUUGAUCCGAAUUUUACUCUUUGGUCUCCAAUUUCUUUAACAAUUUUCCCAAAUUGAACGUCAAAUUUUGAUGUAGAAAAGCCCACAUAAUUUCUACAAGUCUCCUUCGUCAUAUAGCUCAGUUUGCAAGUUGAAAAUCUCUUCAAUUCGGCCAAUCCGAAUUUCUGUUAUUUUUCCACGACGUCCGAAUCGAUAUUUCGUAAAAACCUCUGAAUCUCUGAAAAUUCUUCGGAGAAUGAGUCGACGUUCCUCAAAUGGCUCGUGACACCACAGAACUUUCAAUUUCUGAAAUCUGGUUCAAAUUCGCGGUUAAUUUCACUCCGACAUACUUUUAGCGUGACCUAGUCUAUCGGGUAGCUUUUAGGAAUUUUUAGUGCAAUUGGCCCGUGAUCGAUUUAUCUCGAGUCACAUUUUAUAUCUUCGACACAUUAGCGACUCUCGAUUGUCAUGAAAUCUCAAUGUAUCAAUUACGGGCACCGGGUACCAAAACGAUAGAAAAAUCGGUCUAGUGCCGAUCGACGAGUAUUUUGCAAUCAGGUGGAAUCACCCACACUCUGAUCACAUAUCUCAGUCAAGUCGACCUAUCUCCAGUCUCUGAUCGAUUUCGACAGUGCCGUAAUGACCAUUGCAAAUCAACACAGUCGAGUAGUCAAUUCCUGGUCGAAUUCUCAAGUCUAUUGCAUUUAGAUUCUUUAAUUGCUUCCUCAGAUAAUCCAGUUAUUUCAUGAGUGAUCAGCUCAGAGAAUAUCACUAUCGGCGCAUCGACGAAAGGCCCGAUUUAUUUAAUCGAAAACGAAUUCUGAAAAUUUAGGAUGUCACAAAAUUGGUGAUUCAUUUUCAACAAAAUCUAGAAACUACUAAUAUUCACGUGGGAAUUGGAGAAGAUUCAAGUGGGAAACUUUGGACAAAAGUCAAGAAUAGCAGCUGAAGGAGAACAAACUAGAGAAGUCUCGUGCAUGGGAAAUCUUGAAAGAAAAGUCAACAAAAGCUGCUGAGAUUAGAAAAAUGAAGAAAAAUGGAGAAGCCACCAAAAGAUCCGAAGAAGCCGCACGAGCAGGAGAUAAAGAAGCAAGUUUGUAAUUUUAUAUUAAUUUUUUGUACAAAGUUGGUUGUGUAUGGCGGUGAAUUCACGCCUAUAAAUAGGCUUGUAAUUGAUCAUUUGAGGGCGCGUGAGAGGUUACCUCCACCUUGUGUGUGGGGGUGAACUCUCCACCAUGAGAGGACUUAGACCUCCAUUGUACUUUCAUCAAAUUAGUUUGUUUAACUAAUAAAACUAUUUUCCUCAUAUCUCAUGUACUUUAUCUUUCAAAUUAUUCUACCUUGACCCUUGUCCAUCCUCCAUAAAUUAUACCAUACACUUGCACACAUCACAAACCAAAAACUAUAACUAAUAUCAAAAUCAUGCUUCCGCACGCACACAAAUCCAAAAAUUUUUAACAGCAUCAUGUUAUAGUUAAUCCACUUCUAACAUAUAUCAACAUACUCGACACUCUCAAUCGUUCUAUUUUGAUUGGUUAGGUCAUACAAGACACCUCUUGAAGCCUUUUCGUGGAAUAAGUACACUAAUGGUGCCAUAAGUUGUGUACGGUGCUCACUUUAGUGCCAUAAGUUGUGUACGGUGCUCACUUUAGUGCCAAAAGUUUCCGCCGGAUCACUUAAGUGCCAAAUCGGAGAAAAAACAAUCACUUUGGUGCCACCAACGAAAAAUUCCGGCCAAAAUGAUUACGUGGCAUUUAUAUUUAAAAAAAAAAAAAAAGUUGCUCAGCUUUUAAACGACGUCGUUUUUCAUCCUCUUCAAGAAAUGACGUCGUUUUGCCCUUAUACGUGGACACCCUCGCAAAAAUGAUGCCGUUUAGCUCAUACGUGGAUUGAAAUUAGGGUUAGGGUUUCUUCCUCGCCACUUGGCCACCGUUGUUCACCCGCCAAUGCUCGGCCACCGUCACUUGGCCACCAUUGUAAAUGCUCGAUCAGGUGAGAGGAGAGAAUGAGAUUGUUGCUCAAGCAAAAAGUGGCAGAAAGAAUAGGAGGCGAGAGCAGAGGCGGAGGAGGAAGAAGAGGGGUCGAAGGUGCUGCUACUGGUGCGUCGCCGCCGCCGCCACCGCCGUCGUUGGUGCCGUUGUUGGUGCUAUUACUGGUGUGCUGCUGGUGUUGCUACUGGUGCCGUUCGCUACUGGUGUUGCUCUUCAGGGAAGAAGACGACGUGCCUCCUCUCUCUCCCUCUCUCUCUCUCUCUCUCUCUCUCUCUCUCUCUCUUUCAAUUUGGGGAUUUAGGGUUUCGAUUUGGGGGAAAGAAGCCAAACGACGUCGUUUUUGUGGUUUAGAUGCUAAUUGUGCUCUCCGGCAAGCCACGUCGGAUUUCCGGCUGAUCAGAUCGGCGUUGGCACCAAAGUGAGCGUUUUUCAAAUUUUUUGGCACUUAAGUGAUCCGACGGAAACUUUUGGCACCAAAGUGAGCGCCGUACACAACUUAUGGCACAAUUAGUGUACUUAUCCCCCUUUUCAUAGGGCAGUUUCAUCAAGGUUCCUCCCAAUAAAGACAAGCUUGUUUAUUCUCUUCUCAUCAGGACCCCAUACGUUUCCCAGACAGCCAUCCAAUGUUGAAUGAACACCUUGAAAGGGAGGCAAUUUUUGAAGUAACAUAAGAUGAGGAUUUAAACCAAAAUGGCUAGAAAGAAGUUCAUAAAUAUAAAUAGUGGAACCUGGAAUACGUAUCAUUGCUCAUAACCAAUCACAGAUAGUACACCCUUCAUUCUAUACAAGUCCUCCCCUUUUUCUUCAGUCAGUCUCUCAAACCAAUCAUCAACCUAAUCCAUGGACAUUGCAUAAGAGAGACAUGUUUAAACAGAUAUCAUCACAGUUGAGCAAAAGCAAACUGCAAGUGCUAGAAUACAGACAACAUAUAGAAUGCAAAUUCCCAUGCAUAUUACUAGCCCAAUGACAAAUAUAGAGACUUACGCAAAUUCAAAGGUCUCGUCAUAAACCAAGAGAUAAAGAUUAUAUCUCAGACACAGAUAAGGAAACGUGCCUUAUCAACCUUUUUAAGACCACUGGUCAGUAUUUGAAUUUCACAUAUUUAAGCACCAAAUGUGAGAUGUAAAAGUACAUUCUUAGUUUUACCAGUGCACCCACACUUUACUGAACAACAAAUCAUCAAGCGUUAAAGAGCUUGCAUAAGCCAAGCUGCCAAUGUUCAUUCAUCCCAACUAGAAAUAGUGUAGGUAAGACACUCAUUAGGCCUCUGAAACUCAUCAUUUUGCCUUCAUAGAUAGUAAAAGGGUAUAAAUGGGAGACAGGCUACAUAGAUCAGGAAGAGCUGAAGUAUAAAUUUAAAUUUAUACCCAACCCCAAGGCAGAAACUUUCAAAACAAUUGUCUCACUUGUCUCCUCACAAUGCUUCUCCUUAAGGUUAUCUGCUUUCACUACGUUUGACGACUGCAGUAGAAUUUUUCCACCAAGGAAUUUUUCGUGCACUGGGGCUAAAGUAGUGAAUACAAAUAUCAGUAGCAGUCGCGCCAAAAAAAUAAAUAAAUAAAUAAAAAUAGUACAACAUGUCAUGAAAAUUUAUCAAAAAACACAGUUGUCAUGCAUUCUCAAUGGAGCUAGUGAGCCUACUGCACCCACUGCUUGCUUUUCGCAGCCAAAUGGCGAUGGGCUGGGCUGGCACUUUGGCUUAUCAGAUCAAGGUGACAAAAUUUGAAGCUGUGGCUCUCUAUACCAUUACAGAUACGCUGACCAGACCGCACUACACCUCAUGGCACCCAUAGUUACGAGAAGCUCAGAGCUAGUCCAUAGACUCUCAAAGUGAAUGACCAUUCAAAAUCAUGGCUUCAUAUCUUAUAGUGAAACUCUUGUCCCUCAUAUAUUACUCCUUGACAACAGCAAUACCACAACUAAUAUACAAGAAGACGCACCACUGCAUGCAUAUACUUCUCAUAGACUCAUACAUGCACCACACUGAAAUGAAAGAGGAGCAAGACUUCUGCGAACAAUUCCUCCCCAAAAUAUUAUUCACUUUCCCAUAAUUAAAGCCUCCAGGGUACAGAAUAAACUAACAUCCAAUUGGCACAUCUUUUCACUGGGAAACCAAUUGAAUCAAAAUAUAGCACAUAUACCACCAUGGGUGAUCGAAAUUAAAGCAACAAGAUCUAAAACAACCACGUAAAUUUACCUCAUCAAGAUCCAGUGUACCCUCAGAAAAUACUGAUGCUGGAAACUGCAGAAUCAUGCACAUGAUCAUGAUGAUGAUGAUGAUGGUGAUGAUGCCCUUUCUGCCUUUUUGCAUUACCUACACAUGCUGGGAAAUUCAGUCAUCACAGGUAACAAAACUACAUAGAAUUAAUCGCGAUACGAGAAUGUUGGAAAUUUUCUAUAAUGUGGGCUUACAUUAAUUAAUUAGUUUUCUAUUUUAAAUAAUCGGGUUAAUGGAUAUUCCAAUAUUUGUUGAACCCUAAAAUGAUAUGAUUGAAUUGGGUAUUGGCCUCUAUUGAUAAUGGGCCUGGUUGAGCAGCAAAGUAUCGGCAAUUAUUUUUUACUGAAGCCCAUAAUGGGAAUGGCCCAAUUGACACGCCGUUGAUUAGAGUUUGCUAGAUCUCCUCUCUAGCCUAUAAAAGGAUAGGUUAUACCUAUCGAUUGCUUUAAUCCCAUUGAAAGCUGUUAUACUGAAAUAAGUCAUAGAGAGAAAAAUCUGACAUUCUGAUAGAUCUCUAAUUAUGAGAGUGAUCUAUUUUUCUUCAAGUAAAGUAAUGGCUUAAACAGAUACACUUUAAUUUCACUAUGUUUAUUGAUCUCGGUGUUUUACAAUCAUAUAUGGAUCCGUUUCUUCUUGAUUGAUUAGUUGUUUAUGUAAAUGAUUUUCUACAGAGAAGACAAAAGCAAAAGAAGUUUUGUACACAUUACCAUGCCCAUGUUGAUGUGCACUACAGGAUGAGUCAUCUCCAUGAACUUCAGAAUCGAUUCUACUGAGGUAACUGACAGGUUAGAACAUGACACCAUGCUGUGCUGCUAAACUUCCAUUUAAUUUAUAGCCAGUCAUAUAUAUUGUAGAAAUAACUACCUGUCCAGAUCAUAACCUCCCACUCCCAAAACAAAAUCCAUGUCGACGCUUCUAUAUUUUUGCACGAUAAUUUAAGAUAGAGUUUCCUUAAUAGAUUAGAUUUGCAUGUUUAGGUAAUCUCACUUGAAUCGGACUUGGCUCGCAAUACUUACGCUCCCUCUUUCUAUUUGGUUUUAGUAAUAGACGGUCCAAGGGAAAAGUGCCAAAAAAGUCAUAAACCUUUUGUCUUUGUGCCGAUUUAGUCCUAAACCUUUUUUUGGGGCCGAUUUAGUCCUAAACCUUUGUACAUUGUGCCAAUUCAGUCCUUUCCGGCCAAUUUUGGCCGGAUUUUGCUGACUGGACGAUGAUCGGCUGACGUGGCCUGAUCGGCGCUGACGUGGGCACAUUUUAAUAAUAUUUUAAUAUUUUUGAAUUUUUUUCUUUUUUGAAUUUUCUUUUUCUUUUUCUCUUUUUCUUUUUUUUUUUCUCCUCUUCUUCCUCCAGCCGGUCACCGGACGCGACCGGCCAAAGGCGACGGCCGGCAAGGGCGAGGCCACCCUCGCCGGCCACCUCGCGGGCAAGGGCGAGCCCACCCUCACCAGCCACCUCGCGGGCGAGGGUCGAGCCUCGCACUGGGCGGUGAGGCGAGAGGUCGAGCCUCCAGCCUCACCGGCCAUGGGCAAGCCUCGCCCUCGCCGGAUCUGGCGAGGUUGAGCCCCGCCGGCCGCCCUCGCCGGAUCUAGCGAGGUCUAGCCUCGCCGGCCAUGGGCGAGGCUCGACCCUCGCCGGAUCUGGAGAGGCUCGAGCCUCGCCGGCUGGCGAGGUGGGAGGCCCGAGAGCGAGAUCCAAACUGUGAGAGAGAAAAAAAGCUCUGGGCGAGGGCAGAUCCGAAGGGAGAGGGAGACCCCAGCCGCGUGAGGCCUCCGCUGCCCGACGCCUUCUGUUGUUGCCGCGGCCUCACCUGUUGCCUCCCCGUCGACCAGCCGCGAGCCCUGCCGUGCUGAGCUCGCUGCUGCCGUUACCCCAAUGCAGAUUUGCCGCCGUUCUUACGCCCAGAGCCCAACGCAAGCUGUCGUUGUUCCUCCCCGACGUUGGGUGCGCCGUCCUACCUGCCGCCCAGCGCGAGGCUCGCCAGAUCUGGCGAGGGCGAGCCUCGCCGCCCAGCGCGAGGCUCGACCCUCGCCCGCAAGGUGGCCGGCGGGCAGUCGCCUCUGGCCGGUCGCCGAGGUCCGGCAACCAGCCAGAAGAAGAAGAGGAGAAGAAAAAAAGAAAAAGAAAAAGAAAAACAGAAAACGAAAAAAAAAAAGAAAAAAAAUUCAAAAAUAUUAAAAUAUUAUUAAAAUGUGUCUACGUCAGCGCCGAUCAGGCCACGUCAGCCGGUCGGCGUCCAGUCAGCAAAAUCCGGCCAAAAUUGGCCAGAAAGGACUGAAAUGGCACAACGUACAAAGGUUUAGGACUAAAUCGGCACUAAAAAAAAGUUUAGGACUAAAUCGGCACAAAGACAAAAGGUUUAACACAGACGCACGAACAUACGGAAACACUCGAUUAAGCUUGCGAGCCAAUUGAAUCGAACUUCGUUAGGCUCGAACUCAGCUCAACAAGUUACUCGAGCUGCUUGAAAUCAAGUCGAGCUCAAAGAAAUCGAGCCGAUCUCGAGUAGAUCUCGAGUAAGGGAAAAAGUCCAGCACGAGGAGCAGGACUCUACCACAGUCUACGGAGACUAAUCAAUGCAACUUUGAAAUCGGGGAAGAUGGAGAAGAAGCUUCCCAGCUUAGGCCGGAAGUUCAACGCCCCCGCAUGGUGAAAUACCUGAAAUGGAAACACUCAAUUAAGCUUGCAAGCCGAUCGAAUCGAACUUUGUUAGGCUCGAACUCAGCUCGACAAGUUACUCGAGCUGCUUGAAAUCAAGUCGAGCUCAAAGAAAUCGAGCCGAUCUCGAGUAGAUCUCGAGUAAGGGAAAAAGUCCAGCACGAGGAGCA